GGGGGUAUGGCUCAGUGGUAGAGCAUAUAUGCUUAGCAUGCAGGUCUCAGGUUCAAUUCCCAGUAUCGCCA
rnacentral:tRNA from 1 species